CAAUACAGUUUGCGCAGAUAGAUGUGAAUACAUGCGGGGCGUAUGACGUGGCGCGAGUGGGGCGGGCACACGCAAAUUCGCCUCCUCCGCCCGAACGCUUGAAGCUGGGACGAGCUGAACUUCAACCCAGAUUCGCAUCGUAACAGCCAAUCAGCAUCGAGAAUGGGCUACGUCUCAAACACACAGCGUCCUGUACAGAGGAAAAUGGAGGAGGUGAUUGUUGCAGUCUGUGGGAGCAGCUGUUUGACACAUGUUAUCAGUACCGGGAUCGAGCAAGAAAGGAGCAGGCUUGGAAAAUGGUGAAUGAAGAAAGCUGGCAUACCUGAUUAACUUUAUCGGACAGAUGAGGGGAAACAGGAGGAGGGUCAAGGAGAACAGGAGGUUGCUGCCUCUGCCCCACCUCGGGAGAUCUGGAGGCUGCAGUGUCCAGCAGAAGCAACAGGCACAUGUCGUCCAAUUCCGCUGUGCACCACUUGAAUCAGCUUGGCACACAGAGUGAAUGGCGGUCGGGCUUGACCGCACAGGCGGGUGCACGUGUGUUUUGGGAAGGGGACCCACAGUGUGCGAUUGUCCCCUGCCAUCCCGCGACGUACACUUUGAUAAGACGAGAUGUGUCAGAGAGCUGAGUUGCUGGAGCCACGGUCACGAGGGGGGCAGCUCAGGGUUUGCUAGCGAUGAUGCUCACAGUGCAACAUUUUCAAGCUGGAAUGCCAUUUUCACCAUCUUUGAAAGAGCCAGUUCGUCAGGGGAAAGCAGCAGCUUCUCCAGCAGCUUCGGAUCAAUCGUGUGCUCUGCCAACUUGUCCCAAAUCAUCUUGUCUUCCAAUCAGCCAAAUUUACAGAGGCUAGCCAAGCACCGUAGGUCAGCGACGUUGUGCUGUAGUGACUCGUCUAUGUGCUGGUGUCACUGGUGUAUAACAAUCCGCCAGACUAUAACACUCUGUGGAGCAGUGAAGCCAGCAAGACGACACAGUCUUCAUUCGUCUGCGCAAGUCCAAGAGUAGGAAAGAUUUGUGGCCCAGGAUGUUAAAGAACAUAGCGGUUAGCCUCUCGUUACUGGGUUCAGCUAGUCAGAUCACCGCUAGGAAUGUACAUUCCUACUACCUGGGCCACUGCUCUGGCAGCUCACUUAGCAGGGCGGACAGCUGCUUGAAGUGAAGCUCUAUCUUCGUUGCCUAUUUUAUGACCAAUAAUAUGCGGACAAUGACUGUGCGAAAAAUAACUUUAUUAGUUACACAACAGUUGCAACCGUCACAUCACUUGUGUUGCUUGACGACACUGACGUCACACUAUCAUAGCACUACGGCUUAUAUGCUA